rfam:Homo sapiens chromosome 6, GRCh38 reference primary assembly.
GCUGGGUGUAGUGGUGUACACCUGUAGUCCCAGCUACUCGGGAGGCUGAGGUAGGAAGAUUGCUUGAGCCCGGGAAGUCAAGGCUGCAGUGAGCCAUGAUCAUACCACUGCACUCCAGCCUGGGUGACAGAGCGAGACCCUAUCUCAG